AGCCGCUGUCAUCUUAAAACGAAUAUUUUUAUAUUGUUACACCUCUAUGUUCUAAGUAUUUUAUUUAUAAUACACUUUGCUAGGUCGGCAUGCAAAUGCACGGACUUGAGAUGGGCUCCACCGCACGUUAUGAUAAUAAUAAUAUUAUUACUAUUAUGUAUACCGGGUAUUUUUGUAAAUCUUUUCUGAUAGGUACGCGCGAUUGUUUUCAUACUUCUGUCUUGUAUUAAAAAACAGUUCAGGGAUUCCUUAUAUUAAG